rnacentral:snRNA from 1 species
GUGCUCGCCUUGGCAGCACAUAUACUAAAAUUGGAACGAUACAAAGAAGAUUAGCAUGGCCCCUGCACAAGGAUGACACGCAAAUUCGUGAAGAGUUCCAUAUUUUU